AAUGAACGCUGGCGGCGUGCUUAACACAUGCAAGUCGAGCGAGGCCUGGGGGGCAACUCCCAGAGUCGAGCGGCGGACGGGUGAGUAACACGUGGGUAACCUGCCCGGAAGUGGGGAAUACCUCGGGGAAACUCGAGCUAAUACCGCAUGACAUCUCCGGGACGAAAGUCCUGGCGAUCAAAGCGGGGUCGCAAGAUCUCGCGCUACCGGAUGGGCCCGCGCCCGAUUAGCUAGNGGUGAGGUAACGGCUCACCAAGGCUUCGAUCGGUAACCGGCCUGAGAGGGGCGAUCGGUCACACCGGAACUGAGGCACGGUCCGGACUCCUACGGGAGGCAGCAGUGGGGAAUCUUGCGCAAUGGGCGAAAGCCUGACGCAGCAACGCCGCGUGGAGGAUGAA
rnacentral:rRNA from 1 species